UGGAUAAGAAAUAUUUCCAAGAAACAAUAGUAGAGAAAUGUAUGGUGCCAUUUGUGAAUAAAUAUUACCCAACUCACCAUAGGAUAUUCCAAGACAAUGAUCCUAAACACUCCGCCUCAGCCAAAUUUAUGGAAGAGAAAGGUAUGAAUUGGGAACGCACACCACCAGAAUCACCAGACAUGAACCCAAUCGAAUUAGUGUGGGCUCAAUUGAAGAGGUACGUUAGGAGUGUUGCAAAGCCAACAACAAAACAGCAACUGGUGGAUGGGAUAAAGAAAUUUUGGCUAGAAGUACUCACACCUGAACAUUGUAAUAAUUAUAUAAAUCACCUGUAUAAAGUAUUACCUGUUGUAGUUGAAAGAAAUGGUCAAGCCACAAAUAUGUAGUUCUGUAUUUUCUGUUUAAAAUUUUAAAUUGGUGCAUUAUUAAAAAAAAUGAUAAAAUUG